AUGAAAUGCAACAGACCAAACAAAUCACAUGACGAAACCCGGAAACCCUGGAAGGCAUCUGAAGCUCCGGUUUUGGGGCGUUACACGAAGGAGCAAGGAGGUAUGGGUUUUCGUGACGUUCACAGUUUCAAUUUGACGAUGCUGGCAAAACAGUGUUGGAGGUUGAUUGAGAACAAUGAAUCAUUGUGCGCCAGAGUGUUGAGAGCUAGAUAUUACCCCAAUGGGGAUAUUCUUAACUAUGAAUUAAAAAAAGCAUCGUAUGUAUGGCGGAGUAUAUGGGCAGGGAUCCAAACCUUCAAGAAGGGAUGCAUUUGGAGAGUAGGAGAUGGUGCAAAAAUAUAUAUUUUGAGUGAUUGUUGGAUCCCAAACAGUGCAUCAUAG
rnacentral:rRNA from 1 species